GCGCCCGUAGCUCAGUUGGAUAGAGCGUCUGGCUACGAACCAGAAGGUCGGGAGUUCGAAUCUCUC
rnacentral:tRNA from 1 species